GACGAACGCUGGCGGCGUGCUUAACACAUGCAAGUCGAACGAUGAAGCCUAGCUUGCUAGGUGGAUUAGUGGCGAACGGGUGAGUAAUACGUGAGUAACCUACCUUUAACUCUGGGAUAAGCCUGGGAAACUGGGUCUAAUACCGGAUACGACCAAUCUCCGCAUGGUGUGUUGGUGGAAAGCGUUAUGUAGUGGUUAUAGAUGGGCUCACGGCCUAUCAGCUUGUUGGUGUGGUAACGGCUCACCAAGGCGACGACGGGUAGCCGGCCUGAGAGGGUGACCGGCCACACUGGGACUGAGACACGGCCCAGACUCCUACGGGAGGCAGCAGUGGGGAAUAUUGCAAAAUGGGCGCAAGCCUGAUGCAGCGACGCCGCGUGAGGGAUGACGGCCUUCGGGUUGUAAACCUCUGUUAGCAGGGAAGAAGAGAAAUUGACGGUACCUGGAGAGAAAGCGCCGGCUAACUACGUG
rnacentral:rRNA from 1 species